rnacentral:rRNA from 1 species
UACGUAGGGGGCAAGCGUUGUCCGGAUUUAUUGGGCGUAAAGCGCGUGUAGGCGGCCAGGUAAGUCCGUUCUGAAAGCCCGGGGCUCAACCCCGGGAGGCGGAUGGAUACUGCUUGGCUCGAGUCCGGAAGAGGCGAGUGGAAUUCCCGGUGUAGCGGUGAAAUGCGCAGAUAUCGGGAGGAACACCAAUGGCGAAGGCAGCUCGCUGGGACGGUACUGACGCUGAGACGCGAAAGCGUGGGGAGCAAACAGG